ACAAGGAAACAUCCUCCACCUAGCUCUGGGCUGAAGCCUCAGAAGCAAGAAGAGAGAGCCCUUGAGUCUAUGUAUGGGAAGAAACGAGACAGAAGACAACAUACAAAGAGAUUCCCAAUUCAAAAGUCAGACACAGGGCUGAUGACAGGGACUGCAGCCCAGCUACACCGUGCCAAGCUCCAGCUUCAUGCCUUCAAAACCAAGACCACAUGGGUGACAACAGUGCCACAUUCAGCUGCCAGCACAAGGUACAUCGGUCAUCUCUGGAAGACAGCUCCCGUGUGCCAACUGAGGAAAUACCUCAGUGAUACUGCUCUCUUCUUUUUUUUUUUUUUUUCCGGAGCUGGGGACCGAAUCCAGGGCCUUGCGUUUACUAGGCAAGCGCUCUACUGCUGAGCUAAAUCCCCAACCCUCCCUGGUCGCUUCUUAAUCACAGCUGAUUCUUCAACCCCAGCUGACCAACAUCCACUGUCCCAGGAACUCCACUGUCUGGCUAUUCACAGCUGAGUCCUCAGCCCCAGCUGAUCAGACAUUACAGAUUCUUCACACAGAUGGUCCAGAGGAGUCUUUGCUUCCUUCUGAACCUGCCAAACCCAGGCCUCCAUCUUCUGCACUGCUCUCAACAUUCUUAUCCUCCAAGCUCCCACAGAACAGCUCACUGAGCUCUCAACGCUCAAUGGCUCUUUUAGCCAAAUUUC
rnacentral:lncRNA from 1 species